rnacentral:tmRNA from 1 species
GGGGACGUUAAGGAUUCGACAGGCAUUGUUUGAGCUUGAGUUGCGCUUCGUAGGUUACGGCUACGUUAAAACGUUACAGUUAAAUAUAACUGCAAAAGAUAACAACAAUUCUUACGCUUUAGCUGCCUAAAAACAGUUAGCGUAGAUCCUCCCGGUAUCGCCCAUGUGCUCGGGUAAGGGUCCUAUUCUAAGUGGGAUACGUUUUAACUUUCCGUCUGUAAGUUGAAAAAGAGAUCAUCAGACUAGCAAAGUUUGCGGCCUGUUAUACGGCAGAAAACUAAGCGAAUUUUAAAUGGUAUAACUAUGAGCGUAGAGUCUUAAGUGGCAAAAUGUUUGGACGCGGGUUCAACUCCCGCCGUCUCCAUCU